rnacentral:rRNA from 1 species
UAGGGAAUCUUCGGCAAUGGACGAAAGUCUGACCGAGCAACGCCGCGUGAGUGAAGAAGGUUUUCGGAUCGUAAAACUCUGUUGUUAGAGAAGAACAAGGACGUUAGUAACUGAACGUCCCCUGACGGUAUCUAACCAGAAAGCCACGGCUAACUACGUGCCAGCAGCCGCGGUAAUACGUAGGUGGCAAGCGUUGUCCGGUUUUAUUGGGCGUAAAGCGAGCGCAGGCGGUUUCUUAAGUCUGGUGUGAAAGCCCCCGGCUCAACCGGGGAGGGGCAUUGGAAACUGGGAGUAUUGAGUGCAGAAGAGGAGAGUGGAAUUCCAUGUGUAGCGGUGAAAUGCGUAGAUAUAUGGAGGAACACCAGUGGCGAAGGCGGCUCUCUGGUAUGUAACUGACGCUGAGGCUAGAAAGCGUGGGGAGCAAACAGG